CGUCGCUAACUACUUCGUCGUCUUCGUCCUCUCGUACUUCGUCACCCCCGUCCUCUACCAUUUCGUCGCCUACGUCGUCAACUACUUCGUCGUCCCCGCUUACCACCACCUCCCGUGUUCGACAACUCACCCACCACUUCGCAACCCAAAACCCACUCACACCCCCAACCGCGGAACAACCUCCGCCGUCCCGCUCCAACGUCGCUCGUCUCAUCGCCCGCUUCUCGCCCUCGCCCCCAGCCCCACAACCCUCCACGGCUCCCGUACCUUCACCC
rnacentral:lncRNA from 1 species